UACGGAGGGGGCUAGCGUUGUUCGGAAUUACUGGGCGUAAAGCGCACGUAGGCGGCUUUGUAAGUUAGAGGUGAAAGCCUGGGGCUCAACUCCAGAACUGCCUUUAAGACUGCAUCGCUUGAACACGGGAGAGGUGAGUGGAAUUCCGAGUGUAGAGGUGAAAUUCGUAGAUAUUCGGAAGAACACCAGUGGCGAAGGCGGCUCACUGGACCGUUGUUGACGCUGAGGUGCGAAAGCAUGGGGAGCGAACAGG
rnacentral:rRNA from 1 species